GCGGCAGCGGCCCGAGGCCCCGGGACCCCAGCCCGCAACCAGGCCCGCCGCGGGGAUGCGCCCGCGCGCCAGCUGUGUUGUGUGUUCGUUCCCCUCGGGGGCUCAUCCGCCAGUUGGGCCGGCAGCCGUUCCUGGAGCGUCCUGUGUGCCAGGCACAGUGCUGGGCCCUGGAUGCCGGGCACGCGCGCCCUGGCCCUACCUUCCAGGCCCUUGUGAGGUAGUGCGGGGGUGGGGGGGGGAUGCUGGCCGGCAGAGAGGCCCUCCGCGCAUAACAGGAGCACCGGCUGGGCCGAGGUGAGGCCGGGGUGCUGGGGAGCCAGCCAGGCGGGGCGGGACUGCCGGCGGGGGGGAGGGUGGGCAGGCUCCUGGCGCCAGGCUGGAGGAGCAGGAAGGCGGAAGGAAGAGGCAGGCGGAGGAGGGGCCGAGUAUUCCAGGUAGAUGGAACAGCACUGCCAAAGGCCCGGAGGAUGUUUUGCCACGCGUAUGAGAUGUGCUACCACUGGAACCUAUGAGAGAAGUCUCAUCUCCUGGUGUGACAGACAAGAAGCUGUCGGGCCUCGGAGUGCAGACGCAGAGCAGGGCUUCGCUGUGUGCAAGGUGAGGACGCAGGUCUGGAGAGAAGAGAGACAUGCGCAAGGCCCCGGGGCUGGAACUUCACAUGCCCCGUGCUCCCCUGCCCCCCAUCCCAACUCAGUUAUGUGGCCCAAGCCUUCUUCCUGGCCUGCACCCGCAGACACACUAGGUUUCUCCCAGGAGCCAGACGCCGGCCCUCCCACUGCAGAGGGCAGGCCCAGAGCCCGGGCCUGGUGCUCAGCCAGGGUCUGUGGGAACUAGCUGCGGGGCUGUGGAGAAGCCCUCACCACCUCGGGCCUCCGUUUUCCUCAUCUGAGAAUCAGGAGCACAACUGCCUACCUUCUGGUUCAGAUAAAACUUUGAAAGAGAUUUUUAAAAAAUUCCAUCUCCUGAUAUAUGCCGGACAGCAGGAUUUUGGAUAGUUAUUAAGAGCUAUCAUCUAUGCUGUGCCUAGAAUGUGCCAGGCCCCCCACACACCUGCCCUCUAAUUUUAGGGACACUGGGUAGCAUAGUGGUAGGAGAAGGAGCUUUGGAGUUAUACCUCACUUGCUGUUUUCUCAUCUGUGAAAUGGGGCUAAUAGGUCUGAUCUCAUAGGGCUCCGGGGGGCAUUACAUAGAUAAUGUGAGUAAAGUACGUUUUGCUGUGGACAAAGCACUCCAUGAACAGUGGAUGUUACUCUUACAUUCACAAAAGCCCUGAAAGGCAGGCAUAACUACCUCCAUUUCACAGAUGAGGAAAUCAAGGCCCCACGCCGUUACUUUGUACAGCUGCUGAGUGGCCAAGCUGACGUGCAAACCCAGUCUUUUUCCCUCGGAAGCCCAGGGCCCUCUCUGUACCACCACUGCUUCCUGUCUCUCCCAUUCUGGUCACGAAGGACCACCUGGGCAGGACCUGGGGGUGGGGGGCUCUUCUAGGCCGGGGCUGCCCCAGCCACCCCUGAGGCUUUUCCCAGGCAUGGGAAAGGGUGGCCUCCCCAAAAUGCCUGGGUGCUGGUGCCAAAGUCAAUAAUGAUAGCCCGCCCUACAGGAAACCAUGGUCACCAGGAUACAAACAACUGGGAGGGGCGGCAGGUCACUUCGGCCCCAGCACCCGCCAGCUCUGUGCCCCUCUGUGCCAGGGGGCAGGCUGGGGCUGGCACCUGGUGAAUCUCAGACCCAGGAGCGGGGAGGAUGCCCCUUCCCGCAGUAUGGGCCAGGUCCCCUGUCCCUGUCCUGCAGCUCUCCUAGAAAGCUGGCCAAGAAGGUGGCACUGGGCUCUGCUGGGAAAGAUCCAAGGGAGUGCCUUGAGUCCCCAGGUAGCUCCUCGCAUGAAACCCUGGGCCCCAAGCUUGCUACUUCAUGCAUCUCACUCCCUCAGCUCAAUCUUGAGGCCUCUUCUGGAUCAGGGGCUGAGACCCAGAGACCCCAGAACAUAGCACUGGCCUCUGCAGAGCUGUCAGUUUUGCGGCAAGGACAGACAUGCAUUACUAAAUAAUAUAGAUGUCCAAGGGCAGUGUUCUAGGGUCACAGGGGACGGGCACUAAUCGGGAUUGAGGAGUUAGUGAAGACAGCCUAGAGGAGGAAACAUGUGAAUUGGGUAUUACCAAAGGAGCUGGCCAGGCCACACAGGAGGUGGUGUUUCUGGCAAGUGCUGGGUGCACUCAGGGACCUGCAGGUGCCCCCCCGCGUGCGGUAUCUGCGUCGGGGGUGGGAAGGCAGUGAGAGAUGGGGCUGGAGGGACAACGGGGGCCAGUAGAGGAGGACUUUGCAUCCUAGGUCAAGGGGAAAGGGGUAGAGAUGGCUGUGUGCUGAGGUUAACAACUCCUGGCCUGUGAGUGCUGAUGGGGCACGAGUUCAGUGACCUCACGCUGUUACUCUGAAAUCAGCUGGGGUGGGAAUAUUUACAUCAUGGCACCUGGUCAGUGCUACAAAACAGAGCCAGCAGUUAAAAAACAAAAACACCCACGCAAACACACACAAACACAAAGGGCAGCCUUUGGUGGAUUUAAUCGUAAGGGCAUGGGAUAAUUAGCUUUGUUCCACAGAAGGAUGCUCUGGCUAUUGCAGUGUGAAGGACGGGUGGAAGGAAUGGGCUUGGAGCCUGGAGCCAGGCCCUGGGUGACCUCCCAGCGAGGGCGAGAGGCUGCCCACAAAGGGCUAGGUGGUGGGAGAGGACAGGCCCCGCCGUGUCGGCGCAGCCUGGGGUGGGGGGCGUGGAGGAUAGGGUAGCUCCUUGGGCCUUCUUCAGCCAGAGCCCGAGACUCCACAAUAAAAGCCUUAAUGGGAAACACCUGGGCUCUGCUGGCGGGCUGAGAGCCGGGGACGGGAGGGUGAGGGAUGGAGGGUGAACAUGGAGGACCUGGCUCCCCAUCCCUUCUUUUGCUUGUGCUCCAGCUCUUGCAAGUGUUCAGCUGGACUCCCUGGGCCUGGGCUGGUGAGCAUAGUGAGGUGGGGAAGGAGGCGUGGGAGGGGUCACGGGGCAUGGGCCCCUAGGGAUCACCUGAGCCAAAGCGCUGUUGUGUGGGUGCUUAUUCUAGGCUUCUAGGGAAGGUCCCAUGUGUCAGAGUCACAAGCAGCCUAGGUCCUGGCUCUCCCCUGGCUUCCCCACAGAGGCUUGGGGGUGGGUGGGGGUGGACUUGACUGGAGAGAGUGCAGGGAGGAGAAGGCUGAGGCCCUCCCUAUCUGUGCCCCCCAACCCCAGCCCUGGGAUGCCUGGGGGAGGGAAUACCUGAGACCCAAAAUGGGAGACUUGGCUGAUCCCAGAGACCACUGGGGCUUGGUCUUGCCUGGCCUGGCCUUCAGAUCAGAACUGACCCGAGGGCUUCAGUGCCUGGAGAUGUGGUUGUGGGAAGGGGGCUGGGCUCCAGGCCGUCCACCCUCCUUCCCUUGAGGGAGGUGCUCACAGGGCAGGACUUGCCUUGGGUGGGAAGGCACAUCGAACCAUGCAUUUCUCUUUGGCUUCCCAAGAUAGGUGAGCACUGGCCGGGCGGCAGCCAUGGGGCUCGCAGGCCCUGUGCUGACUGGCUGAACCCUUGGUCUCCUGGCUGGGAGUGCUGGGGGUCAACAACCAGGUGUGUCAGAAAUUGGGAAAAAGAUGUUCUGGCUCCGAGAGGAUACCACUUUGUGAACUGAGUUCCCACCUGUUGUGUGCCUUCCAAACCUUCCUCCUUACCCAAAUUCCCACCCAGGGAUGGGUGAGCCCCAGCCCAGCCUCAGGGCAUCAGGGGCAUACAGAACAUCUCCACACGCAUUAGAAACAGCGCCCCCUCUGGACAGAUCCAGCUCUGCGGGCAGAGGGCGUGGUGAGGGGACAUGCCUUGGUUUUGUCGUUAGAAAGGAAGACACUUCCUUCAAGGUGUGACCAGUGGGCACAGAUGCACUGUCAGCCUCGGGGCGACCCUCCAACCCAGAGGAGAGGGCUUCCCUUGCACACACGCAACUCCGCCCUCUCUGCCCUUCCGCCAUCCUCCGGCCACCCCCGGCCUCCCUAAGAAAUGACCCUGGAAAGGCUGGGAGGGGGCUGCAGGGCGGAGGGGAGGGCCUUGAAUGCAGAAAUCCUCACACACUUCAAGGGCUGUGGGAGGUGUAGCCCACUGGAAACCCCAUUCUAACCAUCCACCCCCCACUGACGGUUCUGCCUCAGGCCGCCUUCCAGGAGGGAAGGCCUGCGCUCCUUCUGGGCACCAUGUGGGGAGGGAGGCCCCGGCAUCUGGAGAUGAAAGGCAUAGGGCCGGCUGCGGCCCCAGCCGCCCCUCCAGGGUUUCCCUCUGGUGCCAUGUGGUCCCAUCCAGCCCCCACCCCACCCCAGACACAUGGAGUCACCAGCGUAGCCAUAAACGCUCCUGGGCAGAGGAACUGGCCUUACCAGCUGGGCUGUGAGAGGCGGUGCCUUCAUCCCAGCCCUUGAAAGCCAGAAGCCCCUCCACAUCCUGGCCCUCUUUAGGACACUGACCCUUCAGGGUGCAUCCUCUGGGGAAGAGGGGCGAGGAGCCCAGAGCUGCAGACCAGCAGGCUCAGGGACACGCUCUAGAUCUUGGGGACAUUCCUGCCCUCCUGGGAUUCAGGUCUCCUCAUCUGUGAAACAGGCUCAGAGAGCUGGGUCGUGGACAAGUGACAGGUGGCGCUAGGGUGGAACCCACGGCCACGGCUGCAGGCUUCCUUGAAGGCAGAGGGGCAGGCAGUGCUACCUGGGACACGGCCCUCGUGGAUCCUUUAGGACGUGGCUGCCCCUCAGCGCUUCUCCACAUAUGUGAAUUUCUGGAAAUCACAACACGGAGGAUUCUUAGGGCUCUCAAGGCCAUACCCUUGCAACGGAGGUUCAGAGAAGGGAACUGACUACUCAGAGGGGGAACCAAGAGUUCCUGGGUCCCCUUGCUCCCAGCACAGUUUCUUUCCACUAUUCGGGUGGUUGUCUAGGACCCCGUCUGGUUAGACUGCAUGCACGUGGCACCUGUGUCGUGACUGGGGCCUCCUUCCCGCCGGAGGGGACGGAGGGGACGGUCUCUCUGGAGAAGCGGAAGCAGAUGCGCCUUCCCCCAUGACUGUAGCUGUCACAUGAGGCCACCCUUUCCCUUCAUCCCCAGUUACUGACUCACAGAAUAGCAGUUAGUUCCUCGAAGAGAAAGGAGCCGUGGCCAGGGACCGGUGGGAAGUGGUUGAGAGUUCCCUGGGCAGAUCAUCUGCUAAGACCAGGCCCCAAGUUCGUGCAGCUGGGCUCCAGCCUGCAAAGCCUGGGGCAGGGCUGCACCCACAGGCAGCAAUUCCUGAGGCCAGCAGGCGUGGGGACUGCGGAGGGGGAGGGGGCAGAGGGGCUGCAGCUGAGGAUUCGGUCCAUCACCAAGUUCCCCCUGAGCACCUACAGGAUGCCCGGCCCUCGGCUCCCCAGUGGAAUAGACCAUUAGGGACCCCACGGUCCUGCUGGGGAGACACCCAUCAGACUCAAGCACUUGGCGCCAUGAGUUGACUCCAGGCCCUGUAGGAGCAAGGGAAGGAGGGAGACGCCUGCUGAGGGCUGUGGGUGUCGGGGGGUAGGGGGCAGGGGAGGCUCUCAAGGCUGGUCUAGAAGGAUGGGUAGGAUUUCUGAUUGGGAGAGGUCUAGAGAUAAGAAAAGACAAGGAACUAAGAAACCUAGUCUGGCAGGGGAAGUGAGUUGGUGGGGGGCUCCAGGCUUUCUGGGCAUCGCCGAAGUGGGUGCUGGUUCCCCAAGAGCAGUUUCCCUGUAGCAGGUGCCGCAGUGACCAAAGCAGGCCAUCCCAUGGGCAUGCUGGUGCAGGGGACUGUGAUGUCAUGAGCUCUAGUGCGUCAGGGGCCAGGAGUGGCCCCUGAUUCCCAGCACUCCCUCCUUGUUCGGGGAAGACGUCCUGUGAGGGUUCAGGAAGAAGGUUCAGGAAGAAGUGGUCAGCUCUGUGGGUGCCCCCAGGCGGGGAGCUCAGACUCCACAGUUAGUGAGGGUGUCCUCCCCGCCCCCCCCCCCAGCACCACCUCCUGUGCGGGGGCAGCUUCCCUGUGGCCUUCUGGAUGCUCCCUUUGUCCUGUCCAGGAAAGCCGUCCCUCUUACCUGCUGCCUGUCCCCACAGUGCCACCUGUACCAUGGGCGGCCACCUGGAAGAAGGACCCGUGGGAGCUGGGGCCACACACCAGUGGAGCCAGCCUCCUAGGGAACAAGAGCCCACGAUGGACCCUGUGGCUUCUCCUCAUCCCACAUACUCUCCUGUCCUCUGCUUCCCCUCAUUACUUUCUCAGCAGCUGCUCACUGAUUCUAAAACUGCCCGCACUCACGGGCGGGCUUCCAGGAGGAGGUGUCACUCGGCCGGAUCCUGGAGUGCUAGGAGGACCCUUGUGUAACGCUAGAAACUUCCAGCAGUUUCUGGGAGCCUUCCAGGGCAGGGCUGAGGCGGAGUGGAAGCAGCUCUGCUCUUCAUCACCCACCCUUACACUGACCCACAGAUUCUCCUCAAGCACAGUGGGAACGGGGUGCGGGUUUGAGGAGUUCGCAGUCUGUGGGACAAAGAAUUGUGUCUGCCUCGUGGGAUCUGCAGGUCCGGGGCAGCUGCCUGGGGACACAGCAGGAGGACUUAGAAGCCAGAGGGAGGGAGAGACAGGAAUGGGCACAGAGAGAGAAGAGGGUGAGGCCAUCUCUCCUCGCCGCCUCCACCAUCCCGAACGCAGGAGCAUCCCUGGCGCUCACACCAGUGUCUCGGGGUGCCUUUGCCAGAUGCCCUCUUUUCAGCUUCUUGCUGGAGCUCCUGGUGAUGUCAGUUCGGGCCGUGUCCCUGCGCUGUGCUGUCGUGGGCGGUGUGCGGAGAGCUGGUGCUGUAGCCAGGUAGCCAGGGCAGACCGGGGGGACAGCUAGACGCUACCUACUCGUGACCGUUACGAUACCCUGCCCCUCCCCCACCAGGCCACCGAGACUGAUGACUUCCUGAAAAGGGGUUCAGUGGGGGAUUUGUGACAUGGAACAUUUGAUGUAACCUGAGAACUUCCUGUUCAAAUGACCCCCGGGGCUCCUGACCUCUGGAAGUGUCCCGUGCGUGCAGUUGGAAUGAGCCCCCGGGGGUCACAGUUUCCUAAGAGCUGUCUGCAGGCCGCGCGGACCCUGGGCACCAGAAUCCAGGCUCAUCUGACUUUUUGCCACAGAGGCUGCUUGGUGACCUUGAGGCUCAGGAGAUCAACAGGGGAAUCUCAACAGGAAGCAGAUCUUCCCAUCAGGAAGGUGUUUCCCACACCCCUCCCCCCUUCCUCGGGGCACUUAGGAAAAUGGAUCCCAAACAGAGCCUUGGGAGCCGGUACCAAACCCCCAGGCCCUCAAGGCUCCCAAGUGUGAAGAUGCCCUGGGCUGCUCCACAGGGCUCGUCAGAUUUCCUGAUUUCCAGUGGGUUUCCCGAGAAUGCCUGAUCAAGCCCACACUCUGUAGGGACCCCUAUGUCACCCUUCCUUACGUGAACUGGACCAUGAGGGAUGUUUACCCUCUUCACACCAAGGAGUCUUUGAGAAGCCUUAAUCAGGGUGGCUGAUUCUCAUCAGAAACGUCCUUGUUCAACACCAUCUUGUGUGAGCUGGGAUGUCCAUGCUUUUGUUAAGAAAAAGUCUCUAGCAACUGAUUUCUAUGGAGACUUGCAUCCCGCCAACUCUGCGAUAGUCGGCCUAUUCUGCGAUGGGAUGUGGAGCCCCUAGUUGUAAUCUGAGCCCAGGGGCUGCAGUCUGUGGGGCACACCUCGGUGUUCCUGGGGAAUUUUGUGGUGGGAAACCUGCUUCUUGCAUGAAGUCUGAGCCAAAAAUGCUUUGGCCGAAACAAAGAUGAACGAACUUGUAUAACGUCUUUUCAUUCCAUCCUCCACCCUGACCCCCGCAACUGAACUGCAGGGUAAUUACUUCAUGCCCACUAAGUUGUAGGUUCGGUAGCUGAGCACCUAAUGGAUCUUCUGGAAAGCUCAAGUCCUCCGCAGUCUCUAGCAUGUCACAGAAGAAUGAUCCAGAAAGCAGUGCUCAGCCAACGAACACCCUAUGGUCUGCACGGACCAGGCAGGAGUGAUUGCUGGGUGUCUGCCCUAAGGAGAGGUCCCAGGCCUGAUGGCAGAGCCAGGAAGGCUCUCUGGGAAAAAGGCCUUCCUGCAUGUUUCAAGGUUUCAGUAUCACCUGGUGAGUCAGAGCAAGGGGCUGUUCCAUGGGUCCUGUCUCAGCCUCCUAAGGCUGAGGUCCACAUAGCUGUUCCUGUUAGCUCCAUGACCAUCCGACUUGACCAACCAGUUGGUCAGACCUGGGUUGCCUAAGGCAUUAGCUGUGUGCCCGCUGGGCUGCCUGUGGAGCAAUGUGUCUGAAUCAGGCCUCGACUAGACACUAAUGAAUACCAGACCUGGGGCUUAGGUGGUGGGGGUGGGGGGCUUGAAGGCAGGCCAGCCUCUCAGGAGAAGGAGAUGUGGUAAUUCGUCGUGGGCACAUGGAGAGAGGUGUUGGGCAAACUGCUGAGCUCUCAAAGGCAGUGAAUCUGAGGUAAGACUCUUAACUGCCCAGUGCUCUGUGGGUGAGAGAGAGCAGAGAAGCCUAAAUGCCCAUCCCAGCAGAAGGUCAGGCAUGACUGUGGUCAGAAUGAUGAAGAGGCAAAGCCAGAGUAUGUUUGAUUUCCUGAGAGAAGGAAAACUGAGCAGUGACUCAGCUGAAAAAUAUUCAAUCAAGUGUUUGUUUGGGGAAGGACAAUGUAAUCAGAAGGCAGUGCAGUUACGAAGGAGAUGGAGCCCUGGAGAGGUCUGAAGGCGGUACCCCUCCCCUUGCCCCCCACAUGUGCCAAUACCAGGACCCCCUCUGGAGGGAAGCCUGGAUCUAACUUCCUGCCUCCUACAAGCCACAAGGAUGGGUGGUUAAAAGGAAGAUUUAAAACCAAAUAUAUCUCAAAUUGAGGUGCCUCAUCGUGUUCAACAUCCUUGGCUGAUGGGCAGAAGGAUCCCCUGUCAAUAUCACUGGCUGGUGGCUCCAGCUUUAAUUCACCCAUGGCCCCUGGGGGAUGCAGGCCCCCUGGGCCUCUCCUGAGGGCCCCAGCAUGCCCUGUCACUCCUCCCUGCUAAGUUCAUGGAUCUGAGAGCCUUCUCCCUGCAUCUAAAGGGCCGGCAACCAUUUAUGCAUUGACCCCUCUCCAAGGCUCCCAGGCUCUUCCCAACAGGGUGGCUUGCCUGGGACAAUGGAGUGGGUGGUGGUUAACGGUUGGGCAGAAAAUCAGGACUGCAGGAGGGUUGGGGUACACCUGUGCAUCCAGCCACCUGGGUGUCCUGUGGGUACUACUGCAAACUCAUCGUUUCCAUUCCGAAUGCCUGCCUCUGCCCCUGGGUACCUCCUGGGGGUCCUGAGCAUCUCCAUCUUCCCAGUUCCAGCUCUUCCUGGCCCUCACAGUCCCAUUGCUUCACCUUCCUUCAUCAAAAUGACGAUGGUCUCCUAACUGCUAUCUCUCUCCUGUCUCACUCUCUUUGAGUCAAUCAACCAGGUUGCACUCACAUUCAGAUAAACAGAAGAAUUUGCGAACACGUGAGCAAGGGGUAGGAAAACAUUGAGAACUAGUGAGGUCCGCCAGGCCUAGUACUUUGGCUUUCCCUCAUGGGCUCAGCCAGCUUGCAGACACCUUGCAGGGAGUUAAUGCUGAGAACCUUAGUCUCUUUCUCACCCCCCCACUCCCUGCUGGGGCUCCCUGUUGGCUGAGUCUGGUGGGGGGUGAGGGGGGAUGGAGGAGUCAGCUGACGCUGUCCACAAAGGUUGGGCUUCCCCAGCCCAGGGCAGCAGGUGGAGGGGGGAUCUGGAGGGCGAAAUGGAAGGUAUUCACACCUAGGCUGACCCAUUCUUCACAUGGCCACCGGGGAGAUGUUUCCGAAAGCUGUAUCUGAAUUAAGUUCCCGCCUAAAAUCUUGAGAAUAACCAAAACAAUGGUAUGAAUUAAUAAGGGCCACUCACCCACACCCCACCCCAGCUGGUCCCAUUCAUAGGACUUUCAAGGUCAACGGCAUGUUCCAUCUUACAGCUGAAGCGACUGAAUCUCAGAGAAGCAAACACCGGGUUCUCACAGUCAGGGCCUGGUGACAUCGGAACCGGAGCCUGGGGCUGACCCUGCUGUGACAACACCUCCUCUCAGGGCUCAAGGCACCCCAGGGGUGGUUCCGGAUCCCCCCAGUCUUGGUCCAUUCCUCACUCCUGAGGCUCCAGGGCUCUAGCCAAUCUGCGUAACUAGUUCUCUGAAGCUUCCAUUUGCUCUCAGCUCUGUGAGCCUUUGGGGCAGAGGUUGGCAAACUGUGGCCCAUGGCUCCCCACCUGCCUGUUUUUGUACAGCCUGUGAGCUAAAAUCACUUUUUACCUUUUAAAGGAGCGAAACACUUAAAAGAAUCCUAUUUUGCGACAUGUGAAAACCGUGUGACAUUUCCAUGUCCAUAAAUAAAGUUUUAUUGGCACACAGCCAUGCCCAUUUGUUCACAUCCCGUCUGUGGCUGCUUUGGAGCUCUCAUGGCAGAACGGAGUCGUUGUGACAGAAAAAGUAUGGCCUACAAAGCCUCAAAUAUUUACCAUCUGGCCUUUACAAGAGACGGUUGCCAACUCUUGCUCUGGGGUGUUGCUUUUUGACAUGCUACUCAGUCUUUAUCGUGUCUGUGUGUGUUUCGGUUUUACCUGUAACACGAAAAUAUGUGCUCAUUCUGGGAGACCCCGAGCAGACAGGGGGAUGGGGGUCCAUGGGCCCCUGUCCCCGUCUCCUCCCUGGGGUUGCUGGUACUAUUUCUUCCAUCCCGAUCGCCCCAUGCCGCUUCUCUGACAGACUCCCAUUCACACCUCAGGCCCAGCUCUGCCGCCGUCCGGUUCAGGCACCACCCGGCCACCCCUUUCUCUCCUCUGCUGCUUCCGAGGCGGCCUACCGUGGCGGCUAAGAGCACAGCUGCCCAGCUCAACCCUCCCUGGACUUCUGAAACGGUGGAGCCAGACCUGAAAUGGGCGCAGCCUUUAUGCAGGACCGAGGACAUGCCUAGUCCAUUCAGCUAACGAAGCGGCGCAGAGCCUCCGGUGAGGCUGGGCACGGGGGUGUGGGCCCAGCAGCACGUCUGGAGAUGGCUUUGGCCCAGUCUAAACGGACUUCACUACCACCACCGCUCCAGGAACCGGGGUGCUCCUAGGGAAGGGGCCCUGGGGGUGACGCGUGGGC